GGGUUGGUCUGUUCGUCCAUUAAAGCCGUACAUGAUUUGAGUUAAAAGCGUGGUAACACAGCUUGGUUUCUAUCUACAAAUUGAAGAAACAUCGAUAUAACUAUCUUCUAGUACGAAAGGACCGAAGGAUUAGUGAUCCUCUUGUUUAUUAUAAGUUACGAUCAACCCAUUGACCUCAACCCCGAGAAGGCUUUGCCUUCUGGGCGAGGGGUCUCUCAGCUAAUCACUGACCGCUUCUAAAGUGGGAAAGUCAUAUCGAAAUGUUUGGGCCCAUUAUAGGGGGGCUAAAACCCCCACCAUCACGAGCCCGCGAACGCGGCCCUCCGAAGGAGGGGAUGGUGGCCAGCCCUCGUGCUGGGAUUAAUCCAGUGGCCGUAGGUCUAGUGGCCGCAGGCUACUAGCGGCCGCACUAGCGGAACCCACGGUCGCAAGGCCUAUCGGUGAUCAAGGGUUUGAGUAAAAAGAGUGACGAAUGGAGAACUAGGGUGCACUAAAGAGGACGGAGCCCCCCGAAAUGGCGGAGGAGAGACUUUGAAGCCCUAAUGUCCUGCGCGGCAACGCAGCGGGGGGGCCAGGGGAGCGAAACAUCCCAGUACCGGGCCCCCCACCCCCUCCCCACCCCAUAGUGGGUGUUUCGGGGGGGGCACAGUAAAAAUCAAACGAGAUUCCGCAAGUGGCGGCGAGCGAAAGCGGACGGGCCCUUUCCCGUAGGCCCCCCGGCUCAGCCGGGGGGCGGGGGUCGCCCACCCAGGGGCGGGCGAGUAGUGAUGGGAAGAUGGGUGGCCACACAUCCAAGGCUUAAUAACUAGUGUCACACCGAAAGAGGGGAGUACUGUGAAGGAAAGUUGAAAGAGACUUGAAAAGACCUUGAAAUGAGUCACUUAAAGCAGUUGUAACACAACGUACCUUUUGUAUAAUGGGUCCACGAGAUAAAAUUUGGCAAACUUAAAGUGCAAUCUUUGAUUAAGAUUCCUGGCCCCUAAGGUGUAGUGAAAGCAAGGGGGGGGGAUACCCCCACCCCUCAGUCAAAUUUCCCGAAACCAAGUGAUCUAGCCAUGGGCAGUUUUUAGGAACGAACCGGUGGUUGUUGCAAAAACCUCGGACGACCUGUGGUUAGGGGCGAAACGCCAAUCGAACUUGGAGAUAGCUGGUUUUCUGCGAAAACUAUUGAAGUAGUGCGUCCACAAUUCAAGGAUAAUCAAGGAGCAUUAUCCAAUGAGAAUGGCUUGGAAUGCGGUAAAGCCCGACCCCCCGAAGCCGGGGGAUUAACUAUGAAGAAAAAAAGCCAGAGUGGGACAGACAGACUGUGGGCGAUAAGGUCGACGGUCUAAAGGGGAGAAGCCCUAACCAGAAGUUAAAGUCAUUAAUAAAAUUACCACCAUCCUGCUACAGAGUCCUUGUCUGGUAAGUCUUUGAUUGAGAAAGCAAGCUUUGCAAGACUUGAGCCAUCUACGAUGGAAGGAUGGUGGCUAGUAUAAAUUUAGUGUAAAAGAGAUAUUGGGUUUAGACAAUGGAGAAGUGGGCUUGGAGCCAGCCACCUUUGAGAGAUGACGUAGCAGUUCACUCAAGAAAUUCUUUUAUCUCUAAAAUUAUGGUGGCUAAAGUUGAACUGAAACUCUGGGGGCGAAAUAACAAGGUGGGGUCCGGGAGGACCCAACCCGAGGAUUCUUCAGAAUCCUCGGGUUGCGAGGAACCCCCGCCCUUCGUUAUGUUUGUCCGGUAGCAGAACGUACUGUUAAUUGUUCAGUGAGAGCCCCACACGGCAUCAGAAGUGAUAAUGUGGACAUGAGUAAAAAAUCAUAGGAUCACUCCCCCCCUGGUUUCCCAUAUUAGUUAUGGGGUUAAACAGCCCCUAAAAUUGCAGCCCCAAAGGUUGCGUUAAUGGGGUGCCAUGAGUAAUAGACGCACAAAGUGCCAGGAAAGAAUUAUUCAAGGGCAUCGGUAAAUCGAAGGUGAUAACCAUCGCGAGGGAUGGUGGCCACCAUCGUGAAGGAUGGUGGCCCCCAUCUUUCGGCGCCGCACUGUACUAAACUAACUAAAGUGGGGGAUAGUGAGGGGAUAAAUUUCCUUAAGGAACUCGGCAAAAAUCCCAAUGGCCCACCAGGGCAUAAAUUGGAACACGGGCCUCGACUGUUUACCAAAAACAUAGCCCUCGGCCAAUAUGAAAAUAGAAGUAUGGAGGGUGAGGCCUGCCCAAUGGUUGUAUCUAAAAGCGGUUGAUAAAAGUCGACCGUGUAAGGACAAUUGAAUGGCCGCGGUAACACUGACCGUGAUAAUGUAGCGUAAUCAAUAGCCAAUUAAUUGUUGGCCAGUAUGAAUGGCGCCACGAAGGCCCCACUGUCUUAAGGAAAUUCCCAGUGAAAUUGAAUUCGUAGUGAAGAUGCUACGUCCAAUUUGUUAGACGAAAAGACCCCGUUGAGCUUUACUGGGGCACUUACACGGCCCCGGCCUUCAAGACUGGGUUGAUAAGCCAAGGCUUACCAUACCUAGGGACCGGCCGAAUUUAAAUGGGCGGCUUAGACUAUGUGGCAGCCCCCCCCGUCGGGGCAGAUGAAACCCCACUCCCCCAUGUCAAAGGGGCUAACCCCCCCCCCUUGGGGGGGGACAAUGUAAGUAGGACAGUUUGGUUGGGGCGACCGCCUUUUAGAGAGUAACGAAGGUGCGCUUAAGGUGCGUAAUUAAUGACUGAAGCCUGACUGCGAGGGGGAUACCCCGAGCAGACACCCCCAAGCCCGCCCGAGAAGGCUUUGCCUUCUGGGCGGCGGUGGGGUGGGCCAUAGUGACCCGUUAAUUUAGAGUGGAAUAGU
rnacentral:rRNA from 1 species